rnacentral:rRNA from 1 species
CACGGAGGGGGCUAGCGUUGUUCGGAAUUACUGGGCGUAAAGCGCACGUAGGCGGACCAGCAAGUUGGGGGUGAAAUCCCGGGGCUCAACCCCGGAACUGCCUUCAAAACUGCGGGUCUGGAGGUCGAGAGAGGUGAGUGGAAUUCCGAGUGUAGAGGUGAAAUUCGUAGAUAUUCGGAGGAACACCAGUGGCGAAGGCGGCUCACUGGCUCGAUACUGACGCUGAGGUGCGAAAGCGUGGGGAGCAAACAGG